ACGCUGGCGGAAUGCUUUACACAUGCAAGUCGAGCGGCAGCGCGGGGCAACCUGGCGGCGAGCGGCGAACGGGUGAGUAAUACAUCGGAACAUGUCCAGUCGUGGGGGAUAACCUGGCGAAAGCCAGGCUAAUACCGCAUGCGCUCGAGAGAGGAAAGCGGGGGACUCGCAAGGGCCUCGCGCGAUUGGGUUGGCCGAUGUCCGAUUAGCUAGUUGGCGGGGUAAGAGCCCACCAAGGCGAUGAUCGGUAGCUGGUCUGAGAGGAUGAUCAGCCACACUGGGACUGAGACACGGCCCAGACUCCUACGGGAGGCAGCAGUGGGGAAUUUUGGACAAUGGGGGCAACCCUGAUCCAGCCAUUCCGCGUGAGUGAAGAAGGCCUUCGGGUUGUAAAGCUCUUUUGUCCGGAGCGAAACGGUGGCGGUGAAUAGCCGCCACUACUGACGGUACCGGAAGAAUAAGCACCGGCUAACUACGUGCCAGCAGCCGCGGUAAUACGUAGGGUGCGAGCGUUAUCCGGAGUUACUGGGCGUAAAGGGCGGGCAGGCGGUCUGACAAGUCUGAUGUGAAAUCUCCGGGCUUAACCGGGAGAGGCCAUUGGAAACUGACAGGCUGGAGGGCAGUAGAGGUAGGCGGAAUUCCGGGUGGAGUGGUGAAAUGCGUAGAUAUGCGGAGGAACACCGAUGGCGAAGGCAAUCCCCUGGACCUGUACUGACGCUCAUGCACGAAAGCGUGGGGA
rnacentral:rRNA from 1 species